rnacentral:rRNA from 1 species
GAUGACGCCAGUCGUCGCGGAGCCGCUGUUGGGAUACCACCCUUGCAGUGCUGGGUUUCUAACCAGCAGCCGUGAACCGGCUGGGGGACAAUGUCAGGCGGGGAGUUUGACUGGGGCGGUCGCCUCCGAAAGGGUAUCGGAGGCGCUCAAAGGUCCUCUCAGAAUGGUCGGAAACCAUUCGCAGAGCGCAAAGGCAGAAGAGGGCUUGACUGCGACACCGACGGGUGGAGCAGGUACGAAAGUAGGACUUAGUGAUCCGGUGGUAUAAAGUGGGAUUGCCAUCGCUCAACGGAUAAAAGCUACCCUGGGGAUAACAGGCUUAUCACUCCCAAGAGUUCACAUCGACGGAGUGGUUUGGCACCUCGAUGUCGGCUCAUCGCAUCCUGGGGCUGAAGUAGGUCCCAAGGGUUGGGCUGUUCGCCCAUUAAAGCGGUACGCGAGCUGGGUUCAGAACGUCGUGAGACAGUUCGGUCCCUAUCCGGCGCGGGCGUAGGAUAUUUGAGAGGAGCUGUCCUUAGUACGAGAGGACCGGGAUGGACUGGCCGCUGGUGGAUCUGUUGCGCCUCCAGGCGCAUGGCAGAGUAGCCAAGCCGGGACGGGAUAAACGCUGAAGGCAUCUAAGCGUGAAGCCCCCCUCGAGAUGAGAUAUCCCUGGCGUUAAGCCAGUAAGACCCCUUGAAGACGACGAGGUAGAUAGGAUAGAGGUGGAAGUGCAGCAAUGCAUGGAGCUGACUAUUACUAAUCGGUCGAGGGCAUGACCAG